rnacentral:rRNA from 1 species
UACGGAGGGAGCUAGCGUUGUUCGGAAUUACUGGGCGUAAAGCGCGCGUAGGCGGCUUUGUAAGUUAGAGGUGAAAGCCUGGAGCUCAACUCCAGAAUUGCCUUUAAGACUGCAUCGCUUGAAUCCGGGAGAGGUGAGUGGAAUUCCGAGUGUAGAGGUGAAAUUCGUAGAUAUUCGGAAGAACAUCAGUGGCGAAGGCGGCUCACUGGACCGGCAUUGACGGCUGAGGUGCGAAAGCGUGGGGAGCAAACAGG